rnacentral:rRNA from 1 species
ACUGCUCGUACCUUGACGGUACCUUAAUUAGAAAGCCACGGCUAACUACGUGCCAGCAGCCGCGGUAAUACGUAGGUGGCAAGCGUUGUCCGGAAUUAUUGGGCGUAAAGCGCGCGCAGGCGGUUCUUUAAGUCUGAUGUGAAAGCCCACGGCUCAACCGUGGAGGGUCAUUGGAAACUGGAGAACUUGAGUACAGAAGAGGAAAGCGGAAUUCCACGUGUAGCGGUGAAAUGCGUAGAGAUGUGGAGGAACACCAGUGGCGAAGGCGGCUUUCUGGUCUGUAACUGACGCUGAGGCGC